GUUUGGACGAUACGAGAUCAUAUGAAACCGUAGUCUAAAUUCAAUUUUAAAAUGAAUGUCGAACGGGUGAAAGAUGAGUACAAUAAUGGACUUUUCAUUUUUUUGUAAAGUGGGAUAAAAAGAAAGUGAGUAAACAAUAUAAAAUAAUAUAGGAGAAAACGGUGAAAAGGGGGGCGACGACCGUUAUUAGCCGAGUGUUACUACAAUAAUCGCUUGCCGGCGUUAAGCCAACGACGUCGCGUUCUUAUCCCAAGAAUGUGCCAUUUUUGAGGAACGGAAAAUCCACUAAAGUAAUACUGAAUGCGAUCCCGCUACAGUCUAAUCACGAUUGCGCCACAAUUCUACCAAUUGAUAAAAACGACGAUUCUACAAAGCAAAAUCCGUGGAGGAAUGGUCUACACUUGAACGGUUUUCGUGCCUAUCAAUUUCGCGUCUUAGCAGCCCGAUAACCAGUGUCUCAGCGACAUUCUGUAUGAUCAGGAUUCGGCAUCUAGAAUGAUAAUUAAUGGACGUAGCCAAUAUCGUAGAGAAUCACGUAAAGCAAGCAAGUCCGAUCAUAAACUUGGUGCCGACGGAUAUCAUAUGAGUCUAGGCGUAUUUUCACAGCAGUGGCACUGUGUUCGUUUCGCUGCAGGCUGUCGCCGUGUCUUCCGCCAUCGUCCGUUGGAGUCUCCGAAUCCGCUGGCAUGGCGUUUUACAAUCGACGAUCGAGUGUGUUGGUAACACCGGCAACAAAUACUCUACGCGUAACACCGGAUGUAAACUGGCGUCUCUUAUUACUUCGAAAACCGUGUACCCAAUAUGCAAGAUAUCUCACCCAUGGUUUUAAUAUCGGCUGUCCUCACGAUAUUUCUAUCUAUUAGGAGGUUGAAAGCUACGUCCAUACUGUUCUAGUUGCUGAAUACGAUAAUCAUACAGAAUGUCACUAAAGAGGAAAGACACUGAUAGCUUAGUCGCUUAAACGCAAAAUUCAACAGGCUCGAAACCUAGGGGCCAAACCGACCCCCCGAGAAAUUGCUGCUGCAUAAACUUCAGUUAUAUCAAUUUAAAAAUAAUGCGAUGCAUCUUGGUUUCAACUGCAGCGUUAUCACAUG